rnacentral:rRNA from 1 species
UCAUUUAGAGGAAGUAAAAGUCGUAACAAGGUUUCCGUAGGCGAACCUGCGGAAGGAUCAUUAGUGAUUAAUUAUUGAGUGUAAAAAACUCAUAAUCUUCUAUACAAACCACUGUUUUAAAAUGUUUACUAGAAUGUCCAAGCAGUUAAGCUGUUGAAAUAUUAAAAGUUUAAUAAAACUUUCAGCAACGGAUCUCUUGGUUCAGGCAUCGAUGAAGAACGCAGCGAAAUGCGAUAAGUAGUGUGAAUUGCAGAAUUCAGUGAAUCAUCGAAUCUUUGAACGCACAUUGCGCCCCUUGGUAUUCCAUGGGGCAUGCCUGUUCGAGCGUCAUUUGUACCUUCAAGCUCUGCUUGGUGUUGGGUGUUUUGUCUCGCCUCCGCGCGCAGACUCGCCUUAAAACAAUUGGCAGCCGGCGUAUUGAUUUCGGAGCGCAGUACAUCUCGCGCUUUGCACUCAUAACGACGACGUCCAAAAGUACAUUUUUACACUCUUGACCUCGGAUAGGUAGGGAUACCCGCUGAACUUAAGCAUAUCAAUAAG